GAUCUUUUUUUGGCGUACAGGAAGUGUGUGUGGCCGUGUCCAGCCUUCGCCCAGCCUUCGCCCGCAGAAUAGAAGGAGCUAACAGCAUCUAAUUGCAGCAAGCCGCUCAGUAAUUGCAACGAAGGAAAAAAAACAUAUAACAUUGUCUAAUGUCUUCAGGUGAUAUGAAUACCGCUGUACCCAACCAUCGAAGGACCAAGCCCGGCGGUAUAAAGACUGGGGUUGUGGCCAGCGGCAUGUCUGGACCGACCUCCCAGAUCCCCGGUCUGUCCCAAACGGCAGACGAAACCUCUCCAGUGGAACGGACCACCGGCCGGCGAGUUGGGAUCUUUGAGUCGGACUCGGAGUAUGUGAAGCUCGCAAAGGGAGGUGGACACAAAGGGCUGCUGAGUCAUGAUGCUGACGCUGAUGACAAACCCAUGAAGCCUGCCUACAAUCCACCCAACUGGUUUGGUGAUGAAUUAAAGAGCGGGAGCAAACCAACAUCUCCCGACAGCAAGAUGAUGGGGGGCAUGCAGCCCCUGGCUGCACCGUUUGGCACCGAUAACGGUUCGUCCUGGGAAAGAGAUGGUAGAUUCUCCCCCAAUAAGGAGAAGAUGUCUCCUGAUGAAGUCGCCGAUGAGCUUGGCGGUCUGUCCAUGACCAGCAAAUACAAGCGAACGUGUUAUGAGAAGAAGGCUCCUCCGGUCAGCAUGUCCAAGCUGCUGAGUCAUGGCUAUGUCGAGGACAAGAAGAAGUCUCCUAAUGACGACGAUGCCUCAAGCGUGACCUCAGAUCAGACCAGCACCGUUGGGACGGAGGACAAUGGCGACGACCUGGAGUAGUGCAUACAGGUUCUGGUCUCGAGGGAAACAGGGUGUCGUCCUAACACUGGUUUAUGGUUUCCACAGAUCCACGAACACACCGCUCCGCCCCUCUCGGUUUCACUCGCAUCUAUUGUACAUCCACUGACUGUUAGGUUUUGUACUCAUGUUUAUGCAAAGGUACUGCUCUCUUUUUAUUUAUUUGCUUUCAUUUGUAAAAAAAAAGUAGAUUGAGUAGAUUGUGUCCGUCGUGCUCGCGGUAUUUCUUAUCUGUGUUGUCGUUUCUCGAUUUGAAAGACGAGUUGUGCACAGGGCAGGAAACUAACGAAUGUUGGGUCCAAAGGGUUGAGUGGUGUUAGUUUCCUUCCCUGGUUGUAUGAAGAUCGAGCUAGUGAAGUUCUAAAAUGUUAGUGCUAAUGAAAUGUGGUUCUAGUGACGUGAAAUAUUAUUUGUUUCGAUCGAGGGUUCCUGCUCUCUGAAGGGAUGUUAAGAGUUUGUUUUUUUUUGUGUGUGUUUUCGACUGCGGGGGUGGAAACGAUCAUUGGUUGAGACAGCCACCCUGCAGCUGUGACCACAUGCCAAAGUGCGUACUGAUGGCCACAGCCGCUGUGCUUUGUUUGGUUAAAGGGGCCAAAGAUGAUUUUUUUUUCUUUUUUUUGGGUAAGGUUGCUGCUCUGCAAAAGGUUGCCCUUCUCUACUAUACCACCCACAAUUCUGUUGUUUUUGACUCCGUAAAAAAACCUAACAUGCCUUGUUUUAGUGUGUAUUUUUAUGAAAGCUUUUACUCCGAAUUAUCAGAAUAAAAGCCCAUUCAGAAGAAAAAUGCCUCGUGUUGAAACACUAAAUUAACUCGUGAUGUUUGCACGGCUAUUUUGAACACUAUCAGGUGCUGCAAGAUCAAUUUCCUCGCCAACUGUUUAUUGGGAAGCUCACCAGUAAACCGCUAACAAUGCCAAGUGUUUUUGAUGGCAGUCCAAGUAUCUCAGAAGCGUGCUAAUGAUAUAAUUGAAUUGGGUCAACUCUAGAUGUUGAAGCUCUCCAGUGUUAUCUUAAUCUCAUUCAGCCCCGUAAAACCCGAAACUCGUGCAACUACCAAUAAGUAUACUGGGAAAUUUCAGGGGAAUCGGCCACCUUUAGCAGACUUGCCAAGCUGAAAGUCCAGUCCACUGUAUUUCCCUGUGAAGAUUAAGGCGUAAUUUACGCUGCUGCGUUCAAUCUACGGCAUAGGUUACGGCGAAAGCUCUGCGUGGAGCCUCCGCAGAACCAGGAGUCACGCUUAAGGGGGACAAGUUUUAAUAAAAGUGAGUUCUGAACGUGCCAACCGAGCAGUUUUUGGUUUUUGGUCUGCUCAUGCAGUGUUUUGACUUUGUAGGCAUCAGUAGGAGAACUUUGUGUUAGUGCACAGCCCGAUCACACCAAACCCUCCACUAAUGUCGUGUUCAUCUAUCUGAUAGGAGUUUAUUCCGUCGAGAUGGGAGAAAUGGUUACUGCGACAACAUUUUUGCACAUGAAAACUUUUUUGAAGCGGUGGAAAAGGUCUGUCUCGAAUAAAAGUCUGCCAACCAGAGACAAGGAUGCCCCCUACAUCUGCGAUAUUCAUUCUUUAAAAACAAAACACUGACAUUUUACUCUGUAACAUAAUCUAAAUUCAUAUUAAAAGUUCAUUUUUUAUUAGUAGCAAUCCCUCUCCGUAUUGCUAGCGACAGUAGCUAGGAAGCUCACUGUCUCACAAUGAGCAAAUGUCGAUUUUUAGCAACAACUUAAUUAAGCUUAAUCGCUAAUCGGUUAAUACAUUCCAUCUAUUUUCUGCCACCAAUCUGCAUCCGGUUUGCAUUCAUUUAAUUGAUCCUAUCAUUAGGAGUUAUUGAUGUAUACUGCUGGGAUUUUGUGCGGAUGUGUGAUGAAGAUUUUUAAGCCACGUGCUCCCUACUGGUUUCCGUCAUACUUUGCCACUUCAUUGAGUCAAUCCGGUAUGAUUGUGAAACAGGUGGCCAAUUGUAAUUCAUGUGGUAUUCAUUAGGGCUUUUUGACCUGCACCCUACUCUACAGAAACACUUUUCAACAGAAGUGUGCCUUUUUGUUUUACUGUUUACUUUUGCAGAAAGCCCGAUUUUUAAGUUCACACAUAUACAAGUUCAGAGUAUUCACACAGUUGGCCUUACUGCUCCGAAACCACCGCAGACGAUGGGAAUUAUCACUCCACCUCUUUGUCCCCUGCUUGUUUGUGGGGUUGCGUAUUUCGUUUGAACAGUCAGGAUAUCUCAUAAAAAGGUAAUAGAUUUCAUUCCUGUGACAUUUGUAUAAUUUCUUCGCCGUAACUGUGAACCUGCACGGUGACAGUAAAAUCCUAAUCCUACAGGGACAUUUGUCGGGCGGAGAACAUGCUCUUAAAAAUGAAAAGACCAGGAAUGAAUUAUUUGGGCGUAUAACGGCAAGAUUAAAGCUCUUGAGUCUGUUCCCGGAAAUCCAACACAUUCAUCACCUCGCGUCUCUGAAAUGCUGCAGCAGUAACGGACUCGUUUGUUUGUUUUGUCACUUUGUUUCCAACACUAUAUAUAUUUAAGCAAUGAUGCAUCAUUGAUCUGUAUGUGGUAUUAAACAUUGUCAAGUGUUCAAAACUAGACGCACUGGAUUUUAUUUUUGCAGUAGACGAAAUGGCGAAUGUAUCAUCCUUCUUUUGAUCUUGUUUGCUUUGAAGAAAAAGGAUUAUUUGUAUGAACUGUUAAAUCUAGGUAUAUCAUUAUAUUCAGGUACAGUACUUAGAGUUUAAAAAUAGUGUUUGGUCACGUUGCUUCCUCUUCUCCCCAGUGUGAGUUGGUGGCGUAUCUGUUUACAAACCAAUAGCGGGAACCUUUUUAGUGGCUUAACUUAGCAAAGUCCUCCAUGAAGUGGUAUUAUUUCAUUUUUUUGUAAAUGCAAAUGUACCGGAAGAGACUGAAGAAGGAAGCUUUCAAACGGAAGAUCCCUCAAGUGUUUGUAGUGAGGAGAAAUCCACCUAAACGACUCGAUGUAAGACCCCGCUUAUCCUGAUGACUGCACACAAAACUCUCAAUUAUCCUUCAAUAAAUGGGCAUGUGCAUGUA